CGAACGGGGAAUAGCCCAAACCACCCAUGUUACGGCAUGUGUGGGGUUGUAGGACCACGAUGUCGCAAGACAUUUGACGAGUAGAAUCCUCUGGAAAGUUGAACCAUAGACGGUGAUAGUCCGGUAUACGAAGUCAAAUUAAGCGUAGUGGUAUCCUGAGUAGCGCGGGACACGAGAAAUCUUGCGUGAAUCUGCCGGGACCAUCCGGUAAGGCUAAAUACUCCCGAGAGACCGAUAGCGAACCAGUACUGUGAAGGAAAGGUGAAAAGCACUUCGAAUAGAAGAGUGAAAUAGUCCCUGAAACCGUGCGCCUACAAGCGGUCGGAGCUGCUUAAGCAGUGACGGCGUGCCUUUUGCAUAAUGAACCUACGAGUUACUUUUUCCGGCAAGGUUAAGCAUCUUGAGAUGUGCAGCCGAAGCGAAAGCGAGUCUGAACAGGGCGUCGAGUCGGAAGGAGUAGACGCGAAACCAAGUGAUCUACCCUUG
rnacentral:rRNA from 1 species